UCAAACUUGGUCAUUUAGAGGAAGUAAAAGUCGUAACAAGGUUUCCGUAGGUGAACCUGCGGAAGGAUCAUUAACAAAUCUAAACAACACUAACCAUUGGCAGCCCUUAGUAAGGGUGACAAUCAAAGGUCUCUUUAGCCCUAGGCUUCUUUUGAGCUGCGGGUUUGGAUGGCCGUUGUCCUGAAUGGGUUGCCAAUAAUCAUUAACUAUUGAUUGUCAUACGCGAAGAUGUAUCUUACAUAAAAGUAUAAACAACUUUUAACAAUGGAUCUCUUGGCUCUUGCAUCGAUGAAGAACGCAGC
rnacentral:misc_RNA from 1 species